rnacentral:rRNA from 1 species
UUAGGCCACCGGCUUCAGGUGUUACCGACUUUCAUGACUUGACGGGCGGUGUGUACAAGACCCGGGAACGUAUUCACCGCAGCGUUGCUGAUCUGCGAUUACUAGCGACUCCGACUUCAUGAGGUCGAGUUGCAGACCUCAAUCCGAACUGGGACCGGCUUUUUGGGAUUCGCUCCACCUCACGGUAUUGCAGCCCUUUGUACCGGCCAUUGUAGCAUGCGUGAAGCCCAAGACAUAAGGGGCAUGAUGAUUUGACGUCAUCCCCACCUUCCUCCGAGUUGACCCCGGCAGUAUCCCAUGAGUUCCCACCAUUACGUGCUGGCAACAUAGAACGAGGGUUGCGCUCGUUGCGGGACUUAACCCAACAUCUCACGACACGAGCUGACGACAACCAUGCACCACCUGUUUACGAGUGUCCAAAGAGUUGACCAUUUCUGGCCCGUUCUCGUAUAUGUCAAGCCUUGGUAAGGUUCUUCGCGUUGCAUCGAAUUAAUCCGCAUGCUCCGCCGCUUGUGCGGGUCCCCGUCAAUUCCUUUGAGUUUUAGCCUUGCGGCCGUACUCCCCAGGCGGGGAACUUAAUGCGUUAGCUGCGUCACGGAAUCCGUGGAAUGGACCCCACAACUAGUUCCCAACGUUUACGGGGUGGACUACCAGGGUAUCUAAGCCUGUUUGCUCCCCACCCUUUCGCUCCUCAGCGUCAGUUACGGCCCAGAGAUCUGCCUUCGCCAUCGGUGUUCCUCCUGAUAUCUGCGCAUUCCACCGCUACACCAGGAAUUCCAAUCUCCCCUACCGCACUCUAGUCUGCCCGUACCCACUGCAGGCCCGAGGUUGAGCCUCGGGAUUUCACAGCAGACGCGACAAACCGCCUACGAGCUCUUUACGCCCAAUAAUUCCGGAUAACGCUUGCGCCCUACGUAUUACCGCGGCUGCUGGCACGUAGUUAGCCGGCGCUUUUUCUGCAGGUACCGUCACUUUCGCUUCUUCCCUGCUAAAAGAGGUUUACAACCCGAAGGCCGUCAUCCCUCACGCGGCGUUGCUGCAUCAGGCUUUCGCCCAUUGUGCAAUAUUCCCCACUGCUGCCUCCCGUAGGAGUCUGGGCCGUGUCUCAGUCCCAGUGUGGCCGGUCACCCUCUCAGGCCGGCUACCCGUCGACGCCUUGGUGAGCCAUUACCUCACCAACAAGCUGAUAGGCCGCGAGCCCAUCCCCAACCGAAAAAUCUUUCCAAACGCAGACCAUGCGGUCACGUCACAUAUCCAGUAUUAGACGCCGUUUCCAGCGCUUAUCCCAGAGUCAGGGGCAGGUUGCUCACGUGUUACUCACCCGUUCGCCACUGAUCCACAAGAGCAAGCUCCU